rnacentral:rRNA from 1 species
AGGGUUUGAUCAUGGCUCAGAACGUACGCUGGCGGCACGCCUAACACAUGCAAGUCGAACGAAGUAGCAAUACUUAGUGGCAGACGGGUGAGUAACAUGUGGGAAUCUGCCUUUUGGUUCGGAAUAACACGAGGAAACUUGUGCUAAUACCGGAUAAGCCCUUACGGGGAAAGUUUUAAUGCCAAAAGAUGAGCCCGCACUUGAUUAGCUAGUUGGUAAGGUAAUGGCUUACCAAGGCAACGAUCAAUAGCUGUUCUUAGAGGAAGACCAGCCACAUUGGGACUGAGACACGGCCCAAACUCCUACGGGAGGCAGCAGUGGGGAAUCUUGCACAAUGGGGGAAACCCUGAUGCAGCGAUGCCGCGUGAGUGAAGAAGGCCCUUGGGUUGUAAAACUCUUUCGUCGGGGAAGAAAAUGACUGUACCCGAAUAAGAAGGUCCGGCUAACUUCGUGCCAGCAGCCGCGGUAAUACGAAGGGACCUAGCGUAGUUCGGAAUUACUGGGCUUAAAGAGUUCGUAGGUGGUUAAAAAAGUUGAUGGUGAAAUCCCAAGGCUCAACCUUGGAACUGCCAUCAAAACUUUUUAGCUAGAGUGUGAUAGAGGAAAGUGGAAUUUCUAGUGUAGAGGUGAAAUUCGUAGAUAUUAGAAAGAAUACCAAUUGCGAAGGCAGCUUUCUGGAUCAUUACUGACACUGAGGAACGAAAGCAUGGGUAGCGAAGAGGAUUAGAUACCCUCGUAGUCCAUGCCGUAAACGAUGUGUGUUAGACGUUGGAAAUUUAUUUUCAGUGUCGCAGCGAAAGCGAUAAACACACCGCCUGGGGAGUACGACCGCAAGGUUAAAACUCAAAUGAAUUGACGGGGACCCGCACAAGUAGUGGAGCAUGUGGUUUAAUUCGAAGAUACGCGCAGAACCUUACCAACACUUGACAUGUUCGUCGCGACUCUAAGAGAUUAGAGUUUUCGGUUCGGCCGGACGAAACACAGGUGCUGCAUGGCUGUCGUCAGCUCGUGUCGUGAGAUGUUGGGUUAAGUCCCGCAACGAGCGCAACCCUCACUUUUAGUUGCCAUCAUUAAGUUGGGCACUCUGAAAGAACUGCCAGUGAUAAGCUGGAGGAAGGUGGGGAUGACGUCAAGUCCUCAUGGCCCUUACGUGUUGGGCUACACACGUGCUACAAUGGUAUCUACAACAGGAAGCAAGACUGCGAAGUUAAGCAAAUCCCUAAAAGAUACCUCAGUUCGGAUUGCACUCUGCAACUCGAGUGCAUGAAGCUGGAAUUACUAGUAAUCGUGGAUCAGCGUGCCACGGUGAAUGCGUUCCCGGGUCUUGUACACACCGCCCGUCACACCAUGGGAGUUGGUUCUACCUUAAGGCAAGGUUUCAAACCCUUGACCACGGUAUAGUCAGCGACUGGGGUGAAGUCGUAACAAGGUAGCCGUA